UGAGUAACGCGUAGAUAACCUGUCUUCAUGUCUGGAAUAAUACGCCGAAAGGGGUACUAAUACCGGAUAUCUUGCUUUUCAUAAGUUAUGCAAGCAAAGGUGGCCUCUGCAUAUGCUACUGCAUGAAGAGGGGUCUGCGUACCAUUAGCUAGUAGGUGGGGUAAUGGCCUACCUAGGCGACGAUGGUUAGCGGGUCUGAGAGGAUGAUCCGCCACACUGGCACUGGAACACGGGCCAGACUCCUACGGGAGGCAGCAGUGAGGAAUAUUGCGCAAUGGGGGAAACCCUGACGCAGCGACGCCGCGUGAGUGAGGAAAGGCCUUCGGGUCGUAAAGCUCUGUCAAGAGGAAAGAAGUGUACAAUGGCUAAUACCUGUUGUAUUUGACGGUACCUCUAAAGGAAGCACCGGCUAACUCCGUGCCAGCAGCUGC
rnacentral:rRNA from 1 species